UCUGUUAAAAUCAGUUCAUGCUGCAGUAACAACAUGGAAUGAAAUUUUGUUUUCAGUUACACAUGUUUUCACAGCACUAAGUAACUAUUUGGAGCUUCACAGAAUUAUUCUAUAUUUGCCAGGCUAUGGCUGGUCUAACAAUGACUGCACUUUGGCCAGUGUUCUGUAGCUGAGUACAACCUGCAAUGUAGUUUCAUGUGUAUGCAAGCCAAGAAUGGGAUGUGCUUUGGACAAAAUUUGGUAUUUCAAGAGUUCAGUAGCAGGCAAAAUAGGUUGAAGUAAAAUGUAGCAACAGGAAAUUUAAUAUCAUGCUGUUACUCUAUAGGUUAACAAACAGAUGGAAAUCAAUUGCUUUUCACUAUGUAGGAGAGGCAAUAGAGACAACCUUGCUUGUUGUCUGAGAAAGUUGCAUACAAGGCCCAGAAGGACUUGCAUCUAACAGCUUUCAAGGAGAUGUGGGCUUCUAGGCAUCCAGAUCCCUUUUGGAAUGGGAGCUCUGGCAGACUGGGCUGAAUACCGUGAGAUAUUCAGGCAUACACAUUGUAUGUAUUUUAUUCUUCCCUUGGAGUAUUUAAUGAUUUACUAUUUUGAUGUCUCUCCAGGCCUUGUCAAGAUUAAGCUUUUUCUAUUAGUUUGUAACCAUAUAGAAAAUGUGAAACGGUUCACUCUCAAUAAAUUUGGUAGAUAAGUGUUUUAUACUA